CUUAAUUGUCCAUCAUUUAGUUGGGCGACUUUAAAGAGACUGCCGGUGUUAAGCCGGAGGAAGGUGGGGAUGACGUCAAGUCCUCAUGGCCUUAUGCCCAGGGCUACACACGUGCUACAAUGGGCGGUACAAAGAGAAGCAACCUCGCGAGGGUGAGCAAAUCUCAAAAAGCCGUUCUCAGUUCGGAUUGAAGUCUGCAACUCGACUUCAUGAAGUCGGAAUCGCUAGUAAUCGCGGAUCAGCAUGCCGCGGUGAAUACGUUCCCGGGCCUU
rnacentral:rRNA from 1 species